AAAGAAACUAACAAGGAUUCCCCUAGUAACUGCGAGUGAAGCGGGAAAAGCUCAAAUUUAAAAUCUGGCAGUUCUAUGWCUGUCCGAGUUGUAAAUUAGAGAAGUGCUACCCGUGCUGGACCGUGUACAAGUCUCUUGGAAUGGAGCAUCGUGGAGGGUGAGAAUCCCGUACAUGACACGGACUGCCAGGACAUUGUGGUGCGCUCUCGAAGAGUCGAGUUGUUUGGGAAUGCAGCUCAAAAUGGGUGGUAAAUUCCAUCUAAAGCUAAAUAUUGGGGAGAGACCGAUAGCGAACAAGUACCGUGAGGGAAAGAUGAAAAGAACUUUGGAAAGAGAGUUAAACAGUACGUGAAAUUGCUGAAAGGGAAACGCUUGAAGUCAGUCGCGUUGUGCGGGAUUCAGCCUUGCUUUUGCUUGGUUUACUUCCUGUAUGANGGGUCAGCAUCAGUUUUGACCAAUGGAUAAUGGUGUAGGAAAUGUGGCAUCUUCGGAUGUGUUAUAGACUUGCAUCGCAUACAUUGGUUGGGACUGAGGAACUCAGCACGCCGAAAGGCCGGGGUUUAUUCCACGUUCGUGCUUAGGAUGCUGGCAUAAUGGCUUUAAUCGACCCGUCU
rnacentral:rRNA from 1 species